UCUAGAGGCUUAUGGCUACCCAAGACAGGUCUUCUGUGUAAUAUAUAGACUUUGAAUUUUUGUUAUGUUCAAGCUGUAACAUGGCCAUGAGCAACCUGUGCACUCUGUCUUCCCGUGCAACAUGGACCCGUUCAACCCCUACCUGCCUUGGUGCGCUGUAGCCAAGUGUGUAUCGCCAAAGUUGCCACGCACGAGCCGCUGCCCUUCCUGAGCUUCACGCCACAGCUGAAGGCCUGCAUCUACAACAUCACCUACUGACAUGGGUUUCCCCUGUUUAGGAGCUAGGUUCCCAAUAGGUAUACUCUUCACGGAAAGCCAAACUGUGUCAUCACUUCCACUGGGCACAGAGGCCUCUGUCUGCCCUAUCUCCCAGGAGCCCACAAACCCUCAUCAUCUGCACAAGUAAGGUAAACCUUUGAUUUGCCCUAAC
rnacentral:lncRNA from 1 species